AUUUGUGUAGUUUAAUCAAAACACAACACUGAAGAUGCUGAAACGAAUAUUUACAUUUCCACAAAUA
rnacentral:tRNA from 1 species